CAAAUUGCUUGUACAUGGCAAGCAUCCAAAAAUGGUACCCCAGGAAAGGCUUUACCACCAAAGACCCCUCCUCCUGCCAGCGCCCUCAACCUUCAUCAACAUUAACCUCCAGAAACUAUGUGACAUGAGGGUCAGCCCCGUUUCUGUGGAAGGAGCCACAGUAUUGUGGCUUAGAGGGCAUUUUUAGCUAAUCCUGCCUGCAUCCAAAUCCCAGACCUACCACUUGCUGAGUGAAUUGACACGAUUUAACCUGCCUGGGCCUUCUGUUUCUGCUGCUGUGACUUGAAAAGAUGAUAAUGGUGGCCAUGCCCUGCAGAGAUGAGAAACCUCAUAACGCCCAGCCCAGUGCACAGGAAGACCCCACAUUUUAGAGACAGAAGAGCCUGUUAAAUGUCCUUUGAUUUUUUUGCUCACACCUCUCAGGAGGUGAGAGGAAAUCACCAGGGGUGGAAGAGUGUCUAACCAACCAGGAGGAGGCUAUUUUCCAGUCUGGGUUGCUCAGGGAAAAUGAAUGGAAAUGAUACAUCCACUUUCCAAGAUUUGAGCCACAAAAGCAAGACUGCCUUCCUCUUCCUUCUAUCUUCCUGCUAGCCAGGAGCUAGGGAGCCCUGGACCAGCAGCCCUGAAGGCAGGAAAGAGUCCCUGUCCACAGCAAAGGCGCACAAUCUGUCAGAGGAAAUAAAGGGCCAUCACUUCGUGCAUCUUUGGAUCUCUCCAC
rnacentral:lncRNA from 1 species